ensembl:lncRNA
GUGACAACAUGAACAUAUGUGGACCUCAUCAUUUGAAACCUAAUAUCAUUAAUAUAAGAAAAUGAUAAUAAAUAAAAAUAAGGAAAAGUAUUACAGACCUACUUCAAAUUUUAGGCUGUGACUAGUUACUGGUACAAGGUUUAUCUGAAGCGUGGUUGUUUGAUCCCCGUGGUGCUGUGAUUGAUUGGUAACUGUACUAAUACAGUGCAAGUAGUCUACAGGCACAAAAGUGAAAUUUCACAACUUUAUAAUAAAGAUUCAUGCAACAAGUACACUUAUAAAAGUAAUGCUUUAGUUAGAAAGCUAAGCCAUAUACUGUAGUAGCAGGAGUCACAGACAUUUGCAUCUUACCAGGAAUCUCUUUUCCUGCUCCAGAAAGUCCAGAAAGACUGAACACAUAAUUAUUUUGUUUGGAAAAUUAAAUUUUCAAGAUUUAUACCUCACAAUUUUAAAUAAUUUCCCCCAGGGAUCAAUAAAGUAUUCUGAUUCUGAUUCUGAUUCUGAUUAAACAGUUAUUUCAAGAACCUUUUUUUUCACGUUUAGGGUUUAAAAUGUUUUAAUAAAGUACAAUAUACUGUACAAAAAGCACGUUCUUAGAGAAAAUUCUGACAAAAAGAUCCACAGAAAAUCAAACAUAGCAAGUCUGAAUAAUGCCUGAAAAAACAAAACAAAACAAAAAAUACAGAUUCCCACCCACUGCUUCAACUUACCCUGAGGGCCACAGCAAACUUGUUUUAAUGAUCAGGCUUUGUGUAAUAGACAUGUACAAUAGUUUUAAAUUGAGAGCACUGUGUGUUACUGGAAAAUCAAAAGUAGCCAUCAAGAUACACCUUUGUAAAAGCUUUACACACACACACACAAGCGCACACACGUGCGCGCGCGCACACACACACACCUGUUGUUGUCUCUCUCCUGUCUGUGGGACUUUCAGCACCUUUUGCCAGAACAACACUGUCUCAGAGGAGUCACAACCUUUAAUCAAUGUGUUGAUAAACAAUAAUUCCUUUUUUUGCAUUCUGAAAAUUUUCCUACUGAAAUGCAUCACAUAAAUCCUCAUCCUCUAUCUGUUUAAUCUGUUCAAAAUGCAUUGCUGCCAGACGAGAGUUAAGCAAUAAUAUAUACAUACUUUU